AUUGAACGCUGGCGGCAGGCCUAACACAUGCAAGUCGAGCGGAUGAAGGGAGCUUGCUCCUGGAUUCAGCGGCGGACGGGUGAGUAAUGCCUAGGAAUCUGCCCGGUAGUGGGGGAUAACGUCCGGAAACGGGCGCUAUUACCGCAUACGUCCUGAGGGAGAAAGUGGGGGACCUUCGAACCUCACGCUAUCAGAUAAGCCUAGGUCGGAUUAGCUAGUUGGUGGGGUAAAGGCCUACCAAGGCGACGAUCCGUAACUGGUCUGAGAGGAUGAUCAGUCACACUGGAACUGAGACACGGUCCAGACUCCUACGGGAGGCAGCAGUGGGGAAUAUUGGACAAUGGGCGAAAGCCUGAUCCAGCCAUGCCGCGUGUGUGAAGAAGGUCUUCGGAUUGUAAAGCACUUUAAGUUGGGAGGAAGGGCAGUAAGUUAAUACCUUGCUGUUUUGACGUUACCAACAGAAUAAGCACCGGCUAACUUCGUG
rnacentral:rRNA from 1 species